ACGCUGGCGGCAGGCUUAACACAUGCAAGUCGAACGGUAACAGGGAUUAGCUUGCUAAUUUGCUGACGAGUGGCGGACGGGUGAGUAAUGCUUGGGAAUCUGGCUUAUGGAGGGGGAUAACUACGGGAAACUGUAGCUAAUACCGCGUAAUAUCGGAAGAUUAAAGGGUGGGACUUUCGAGCCACCUGCCAUAAGAUGAGCCCAAGUGGGAUUAGGUAGUUGGUUAGGUAAAGGCUGACCAAGCCGACGAUCUCUAGCUGGUCUGAGAGGAUGACUAGCCACACUGGAACUGAGACACGGUCCAGACUCCUACGGGAGGCAGCAGUGGGGAAUAUUGCACAAUGGGGGGAACCCUGAUGCAGCCAUGCCGCGUGAAUGAAGAAGGCCUUCGGGUUGUAAAGUUCUUUCGGUGACGAGGAAGGUUGAUAGGUUAAUAGCCUAUCAAAUUGACGUUAAUCACAGAAGAAGCACCGGCUAACUCCGUGCCAGCAGCCGCGGUAAUACGGGGGGUGCGAGCGUUAAUCGGAAUAACUGGGCGUAAAGGGCACGCAGGCGGUGACUUAAGUGAGAUGUGAAAGCCCCGAGCUCAACUUGGGAAUUGCAUUUCAUACUGGGUCGCUAGAGUACUUUAGGGAGGGGUAGAAUUCCACGUGUAGCGGUGAAAUACGUAGAGAUGUGGAGGAAUACCGAAGGCGAAGGCAGCCCCUUGGGAAUGUACUGACGCUCAUGUGCGAAAGCGUGGGGAGCAAACAGGAUUAGAUACCAUGGUAGUCCACGCUGUAAACGAUGUCGAUUUGGGGAUUGGGCUUUGAGCUUGGUGCCCGUAGCUAACGUGAUAAAUCGACCGCCUGGGGAGUACGGCCGCAAGGUUAAAACUCAAAUGAAUUGACGGGGGCCCGCACAAGCGGUGGAGC
rnacentral:rRNA from 1 species